rnacentral:rRNA from 1 species
CCUACGGGUGGCAGCAGUGGGGAAUAUUGCACAAUGGGGGGAACCCUGAUGCAGCGACGCCGCGUGAGUGAAGAAGUAUUUCGGUAUGUAAAGCUCUAUCAGCAGGGAAGAUAAUGACGGUACCUGACUAAUAAGCACCGGCUAACUACGUGCCAGCAGCCGCGGUAAUACGUAGGGGGCAAGCGUUAUCCGGAUUUACUGGGUGUAAAGGGAGCGUAGACGGUAAUGCAAGUCUGAAGUGAAAGCCCAAGGCUCAACCAUGGGACUGCAUUGGAAACUGUAAAACUGGAGUGCAGGAGAGGUAAGCGGAAUUCUUGGUGUAGCGGUGAAAUGCGUAGAGAUUAGGAGGAACACU